UCCGGUUUAUCACCGGCAGUCUCCUUUGAGUUCCCACCAUUACGUGCUGGCAACAAAGGAUAAGGGUUGCGCUCGUUGCGGGACUUAACCCAACAUUUCACAACACGAGCUGACGACAGCCAUGCAGCACCUGUCUCAGAGUUCCCGAAGGCACUAAGCUAUCUCUAGCGAAUUCUCUGGAUGUCAAGAGUAGGUAAGGUUCUUCGCGUUGCAUCGAAUUAAACCACAUGCUCCACCGCUUGUGCGGGCCCCCGUCAAUUCAUUUGAGUUUUAACCUUGCGGCCGUACUCCCCAGGCGGUCGACUUAACGCGUUAGCUCCGGAAGCCACGCCUCAAGGGCACAACCUCCAAGUCGACAUCGUUUACAGCGUGGACUAC
rnacentral:misc_RNA from 1 species